UGAUACAGGAUCCUUAAUAGGCGUGGAAGUGUUCACCAGACAGAGAGGUCCUGCCCUUGCCGAUCUGAGCUGGUUCUGUGUUAGAGACUCCGUGGGCGUCUGUUUGACAGGAUCUGCCAGGAGCUGAAGAAUAACUUCCCUGAUCUGGAAGAGCAGAUCUCAGAUAUUUUGCACAUUUGCAGAACCUACCCCUAGGAGUGGUAGAAAACCACAACCAAAGAAGCAAAUGGAGACGCAGAAUAUCAGAUGAACGGCAGCUACGCAGGAAAAUAAAGCAGUGCAGCAGGAUUGGAGGUGCUUGUGGUGAGAGGAGGCAGGGAGUUGCUUUUUACAUGGGGAGAUCAGGGAAGGCCUCAGUGAGGAGGUGAUAUUUGAAUAGAGAGAAACCUGGGAGAGGAAAGAGAGUGAGCCCUAUUGAUAUAUAAGGGUAGAAUGACUCUGGCAGAGUGGUUAGUGCAAAGGUCUUGUGGCAGGAAACACCCUUUUGGACUUCCAUUGUGAAUGUCUUGGGACACUUGAUGGUGUCCCACAGGUCUCUGAGGCUUUGUUUGUUUAUUUAUUUAUUUAGAGACAGGGUCUUGCUCUGUUGCCCAGGCUGGAGUGCAAUCAUGGUUCACUGCAGCCUCAAACUCUUGGGAUCAAGUGAUCCUCCCACCUCAGCCUCCUGAGUAGCUGGGACCACAGUUGCACACCACCAUGCUCAGCUAAUUUCUUAUUUUUUUUUAGAGAUGAGGACUUGUUUUGUUGUCUAGGCUAGUCUCAAACUCUUGGAGUCAAGCAAUCCUCUCUCCUUGGUCUCCUAAAGUGCUGGGAUUAAAGAUAUGAGGCACUGGCCAAUAAAUCAUUUUAAAAAAUCAUUUUUUCCCUUUCUGUUAUGGACUGAGUGUAUGUGACCCAGACCCCAAAUUCAUAUGUUGAAACCGCAGUCCCUAAUGUGGUGGCAUUUGGAGGCAGGGUCUUUGGGAGGUAGUUGGGUUUGAAUGAAUCUCGAGGUGGAGCCGGUGAAGGAACUGGUGCUUUUAUAAGGAGAUGAAGGGACCAGAGCUCUCUCUGUCAUGUGAGGAUAUGGCAAGGAAGCAGCUAUCUGCAAGCUUGGGACCAAAGCUAAGAAAAGACUAUGCUGCCACUCUGAUCUCAGACUUUGAGCCUCGAGAACUGUGAGAAAUACAGAGUUACUGUUGAAGCCACCCUGUCUGUGGCAUUCUGUUAUAGCAGCUGUAACUGACUAAGACAGGUUCCCCUCUUCAACCUGGAUAAUCUCAGUGGACCUACCCUCAAAUCUGCUGUUGAGCCACUGAUUGGGCUUUCUUUAAUUCUUUGAACAUACAGUUGUCCUUUGAUAUCUGCGGGGGAUUGGUUCCAGGACCCCUGGGGAUACCAAAAUCUGUAGAUGCUCAAAGUCCGAUAGUUGACCUUUCGUAUCUGUGGAUUCAACUGAUCGUGGAUUGAAAAUUGCAAUGCGAGAAUGUGGAUAGGAGGACUGACCGUACGUUAUUUGUAAUAGCUGACUUGACAUCUUUAUAUAGUCAGUUCAACAUGUGGGCCUCCUCAGGGACAGUUUCUGUGUGUCUUUUUCCCCCCACGUAUGGGCUAUAUGUCGCGUAUGUUUUUAUGUCUCCUCGUUUUUGCUGUUGAAAACUGGAUAUAUGACAUACCAUAAUGUGGUUACUCUGGAAAUCACAUCUCCCCAGGCUUUGUUGUUUCUGCUGUUUAUUAAAUAACUUCCCUGGAUAAAGGGUGUAAAGUCUAUGUUCUUUGUCACAGAUGACUACGAGGAGUUUCUGGGAACUUCCAGACAGGUUAGACAAUAACAAUCUCUAAGAGUAGGACUUCGGGGAGUUUCACUCCCUGGCUCCCCUGUCCAGCGGCUGCCAGCUUUCUGCAUUUACAGCUACUGUGGAGCUGGGAAGAAGGA